UACAGAGGGGGCUAGCGUUGUUCGGAAUUACUGGGCGUAAAGGGCGCGUAGGCGGCCCGCUAAGUCGAACGUGAAAUCCCCGGGCUCAACCCGGGAACUGCGUCCGAUACUGGCAGGCUUGAAUCCGGGAGAGGGAUGUGGAAUUCCAGGUGUAGCGGUGAAAUGCGUAGAUACCUGGAGGAACACCGGUGGCGAAGGCGGCAUCCUGGACCGGUAUUGACGCUGAGGCGCGAAAGCCAGGGGAGCAAACGGG
rnacentral:rRNA from 1 species